AUCUGAGGGAGCUUGCUCCCAAAGAUUAGCGGCGGACGGGUGAGUAACACGGUGGGCAACCUGCCUGUAAGACUGGGAUAACUCCGGGAAACCGGGGCUAAUACCGGAUAAUAUCUAUUUAUACAUAUAAUUAGAUUGAAAGAUGGUUCUGCUAUCACUUACAGAUGGGCCCGCGGCGCAUUAGCUAGUUGGUGAGGUAACGGCUCACCAAGGCGACGAUGCGUAGCCGACCUGAGAGGGUGAUCGGCCACACUGGGACUGAGACACGGCCCAGACUCCUACGGGAGGCAGCAGUAGGGAAUCUUCCGCAAUGGACGAAAGUCUGACGGAGCAACGCCGCGUGAGUGAUGAAGGUUUUCGGAUCGUAAAACUCUGUUGUUAGGGAAGAACAAGUAUCGGAGUAACUGCCGGUACCUUGACGGUACCUAACCAGAAAGCCACGGCUAACUACGUGCCAGCAGCCGCGGUAAUACGUAGGUGGCAAGCGUUGUCCGGAAUUAUUGGGCGUAAAGCGCGCGCAGGCGGUUCCUUAAGUCUGAUGUGAAAGCCCACGGCUCAACCGUGGAGGGUCAUUGGAAACUGGGGAACUUGAGUGCAGAAGAGGAAAGUGGAAUUCCAAGU
rnacentral:rRNA from 1 species